rnacentral:lncRNA from 1 species
GCUGUCCAAACCAUAAGUUUUCAGAGGGGGAUUUGCUGCAGUAUUUCUAUCAAGGGAUGACGGUAGAUACCAAAAAUCUGGUGAAUUCAUCAAGUGGAGGAGCAUUUUCUCAAAAUACUGUGAGCGAAGCUAAGAAGUUGAUUCAACACUUGGUGGAAGCAACGAGAGAGUAUGAGGAGCCACGUAUUCAAUUGCUCAAGAAAGUUGCACAGGCAAGUUCCUCUAACUUUGAGGACAAGUUCGAAGAAAGAAUGGGGA